GAUGAACGCUGGCGGCGUGCCUAAUACAUGCAAGUCGAGCGAACAGACGAGGAGCUUGCUCCUCUGACGUUAGCGGCGGACGGGUGAGUAACACGUGGAUAACCUACCUAUAAGACUGGGAUAACUUCGGGAAACCGGAGCUAAUACCGGAUAACAUGUUGAACCGCAUGGUUCAACAGUGAAAGACGGUCUUGCUGUCACGUAUAGAUGGAUCCGCGCCGCAUUAGCUAGUUGGUAAGGUAACGGCUUACCAAGGCAACGAUGCGUAGCCGACCUGAGAGGGUGAUCGGCCACACUGGAACUGAGACACGGUCCAGACUCCUACGGGAGGCAGCAGUAGGGAAUCUUCCGCAAUGGGCGAAAGCCUGCCGGAGCAACGCCGCGUGAGUGAAGAAGGUCUUCGGAUCGUAAAACUCUGUUAUUAGGGAAGAACAAAUGUGUAAGUAACUAUGCACGUCUUGACGGUACCUAAUCAGAAAGCCACGGCUAACUACGUG
rnacentral:rRNA from 1 species